GACGAACGCUGGCGGCGUGCUUAACACAUGCCAGUCGAACGGAAAGGCCCUGCUUUUGUGGGGUGCUCGAGUGGCGAACGGGUGAGUAACACGUGAGUAACCUGCCCUUGACUUUGGGAUAACUUCAGGAAACUGGGGCUAAUACCGGAUAGGAGCUCAUGCUGCAUGGUGGGGGUUGGAAAGUUUCGGCGGUUGGGGAUGGACUCGCGGCUUAUCAGCUUGUUGGUGGGGUAGUGGCUUACCAAGGCUUUGACGGGUAGCCGGCCUGAGAGGGUGACCGGCCACAUUGGGACUGAGAUACGGCCCAGACUCCUACGGGAGGCAGCAGUGGGGAAUAUUGCACAAUGGGCGGAAGCCUGAUGCAGCAACGCCGCGUGCGGGAUGACGGCCUUCGGGUUGUAAACCGCUUUCGCCUGUGACGAAGCGUGAGUGACGGUAAUGGGUAAAGAAGCACCGGCUAACUACGUG
rnacentral:rRNA from 1 species